CAAUAUAUCAUCGUAAAAGGAAAAGUACACGAAUUAAUGUCUGGUCAAUUUCACUAUGGCUAAGUAUAACCAUGGAAAUGAACAGGAAAUAGUUCAGAAUGAGCUAGCUUAUAUUUGCUUAGCCGGUAACCUUUUAUAACCACUUUUGAAUAGUAAACAAUGAUGGAACAGGUUACGAGAACCUCAAUGGAAAGUAGAACAUAGAAUUACAUGUGGUUGUAAGUUCAUGGCAAUAUCCAU